AUUUUUCUUUCUUCUUUUU
rnacentral:sRNA from 1 species